rnacentral:lncRNA from 1 species
UUAAAUUCCAACCAGAGUUUACCAUGUGUGUUCAUUCUCUCACCUUGUGGCAAUGAUCAUGCUUAAAUUUGAUUCUCACCCUCUAAAAAAAAUUGUAACUGGCAAAGUGAUUGCACAGUUUUGAGAGACAGACUUAUUUUCCUCACAAAAUGUAUCGAAAUCUGAUUUUCCCAUCUUAUUUUCUAGAGGAAAAAAUGUGUAUUGUCUUGUGCCAUUUUGUAAUAUGGCUUUCUCAGGAAAAAAAGACUACUUUCAAUUGUAAUAUUUUCUCAGAUCAUUCACUAUGGGUGUGAGGGCCAUUAUUCAGUAUUGUGCUGAUCCUAUGUGAUUUCUUAAAGGAGUUUAUGAAAAAUUUUAAAGAUUAUAAAUGGAAAACAUGAAUGAAACACUCUAAAGUAGCAAUCUACUUAAGAGUAGAAGUCUCACUUUUCAGUUGUAAUGGGCAAGUCAUUUAGGAUUGGUAAGUUACAUGUUUCUUAUUCUCUCAACUCCUUAGUACUACAGCUAAAUACUAUUUAAUUUAUACAAAUCUUAUUGUUCUGUUACACUUCCUUUUUUAUGAAUCUGAAGAUAACAUGUGAAUCAGGCAAAUACACCAAAGAUACAGGAAUCUUUUUUCCUGGCUUCCAGUUUGUUGCCACCAUUUUAGUCCUGCAGAUGGUAAAGUACCUACUGUGGGCAAGGAUUUGCUGGGGAGGCCCAGCCAUGUCUAUUAAGUGCAUUGCCUUCCUCCUUGGGAAGAUCUUUUUAUAAGUUUAAAGUAGACUAAUUGUGAGAACAGGCAAGAAGUAUUUGCGGGUUGCUUUAACAGUGGCAAUCUUAUUUUUCUGGCUUAAAAUCUAAGACGACUGUGAAAUUAUUCUGUAAGAAGGUAAACUUUAGUGCAGAGAUUCGCCUCAUACUUGAUGGUGAAGUGUCUUUAAAAUUUCUAUAUAUAAGAUGCAAAAUUGUUUUGUUGCUCUAAUGCUUAUUUUUCUGUAUGUUUACACAUUAAAUUCCUGCAAAA